GCAUGUAUGUCUUGACUCUUCACUUCCAUUCGCGUACAACCAUACAGGUGAAGCUUAGGUGGUGGUUGCCCGAGGGGAUGCCGUGACAACGGGAAGUGGGUGCCGGAGACAAAGCUGGGUGCCUUGUUCAUUUACACACAACCACUCCAUUACUUCAAGAUGCAAAUUUGUUUAAAUUUUAUUUGUAAUUAUUUUCGAAGAAAUUAUUAUUAAUAAAAUUAAAGUAAUCCUUUUUUUUUU